rnacentral:rRNA from 1 species
UUUAUUGUAAAUGAUUGGUUUGAGUAGUAAUAGAGUUCUUGAAMCUAAAAGAGUUUGGCGGUAUUUAAGUCUAUUUAGAGGAAUCUGUAUAUUAAUCGAUAGUCCACGAAUGAUCUUACUUAAAUUUAUUAAGAUAUGUAUAUCGUUGUCAUCAGAAUAAUUUUGUAGAAUGUUUUCUGAGAAUUAAUAAAAUAGUAUGUCAAAUCAAGGUGCAGUUUAUGUUUAAGAUUAUAUGGAUUACAAUAUUGGGGAGUAAAUGAAUAAUGUUUCUGAAAGGAAGGUUUGAAGGUGGAUUUAAUUGUAAUUUUUUAUUAGCAAGAAGAGGUGAAAUGGUACUGAAAUAUGC